rnacentral:rRNA from 2 species
AUGGACGAAAGUCUGAUGGAGCAACGCCGCGUGAGUGAAGAAGGGUUUCGGCUCGUAAAACUCUGUUGUUAAAGAAGAACAUAUCUGAGAGUAACUGUUCAGGUAUUGACGGUAUUUAACCAGAAAGCCACGGCUAACUACGUGCCAGCAGCCGCGGUAAUACGUAGGUGGCAAGCGUUGUCCGGAUUUAUUGGGCGUAAAGCGAGCGCAGGCGGUUUUUUAAGUCUGAUGUGAAAGCCUUCGGCUCAACCGAAGAAGUGCAUCGGAAACUGGGGAACUUGAGUGCAGAAGAGGACAGUGGAACUCCAUGUGUAGCGGUGAAAUGCGUAGAUAUAUGGAAGAACACCAGUGGCGAAGGCGGCUGUCUGGUCUGUAACUGACGCUGAGGCUCGAAAGUAUGGGUAGCAAACAGGAUUAGAUACCCUGGUAGCCCAUACCGUAAACGAUGAAUGCUAAGUGUUGGAAGGUUUCCGCCCUUCAGUGCUGCAGCUAACGCAUUAAGCAUUCCGCCUGGGGAGUACGGCCGCAAGGCUGAAACUCAAAGGAAUUGACGGGGGCCCGCACAAGCGGUGGAGCUGUGGUUUAAUUC